UACGUAGGGUGCAAGCGUUGUCCGGAAUUAUUGGGCGUAAAGAGCUCGUAGGCGGUCUGUCGCGUCGGCUGUGAAAACCCGAGGCUCAACCUCGGGCCUGCAGUCGAUACGGGCAGACUAGAGGUAUGCAGGGGAGAACGGAAUUCCUGGUGUAGCGGUGAAAUGCGCAGAUAUCAGGAGGAACACCGGUGGCGAAGGCGGUUCUCUGGGCAUUACCUGACGCUGAGGAGCGAAAGUGUGGGGAGCGAACAGG
rnacentral:rRNA from 1 species